rnacentral:RNase_P_RNA from 1 species
UGAGGCGGCCGAAUGGUCGCAUGCCGUAAGGCAUGAGGAAAGUCCGAGCACCACAGGGCAAAGUGCCAGCUAAUGGCUGGUGGAGGCGACUCCAAGGCAAGUGCAACAGAAAUAUACCGCCGAGCGAUCGGUAAGGGUGGAAAGGUGCGGUAAGAGCGUACCGGCGGCAUGGCGACUUGACCGUCCUGUAAACCCCACUUGGUGCAAGAUAAAUGAAAGCGCAUGGGCUGCCCGUCCUGCUUUCGACCAUCGCUAGAGCUCUCCGGCGACGGAGCGCGUAGAUAGAUGACCAUUCAUGACAGAACUCGGCUUACAGGCCGCGCUCAUUUC